UACAGAGGCCCCAAGCGUUAGGCGGAAUCACUGGGCUUAAAGCGUGUGUAGGCGGACUUCUAAGUCCCUUGUGAAAUCCCACGGCUUAACCGUGGAACUGCUUGGUAUACUGGUCGUCUUGAGCCACUUAGGGGUUACCGGAACAAAUGGUGGAGCGGUGAAAUGCGUAGAGAUCGGGAGGAACAUCAGUGGCGAAGGCGGCCUUCUGGACCAGUACUGACGCUGAGGCACGAAAGCGUGGGGAGCAAACAGG
rnacentral:rRNA from 1 species